rnacentral:RNase_P_RNA from 1 species
GAAGCCCGCCAGACCGCCGCUGGUGCAAUCUGGGAAACCAGGCACUGGAGGAACGUCCGGACUGCAUAGGGCAGCGUAGCAGCUAAUGGCUGUCCACCGCGAGGUGAGGAUUAGAGCAACAGAGACGAGUCUUUACAGGCAACACCCGUGGGUGGUCUGUGCGGUGUCAGUGCAAACUGGCACGCGUGGGGCGCAAGCCGCACGCCCACGGCGUAAGCCGUGGACCGCACAGCACCCUUUGCGGGCAGAGCCCGUAAAGGGUGAAACGGGCAAUCUCUACGCGCAGCAAUACCAAAUAGGCCAACGUUGACGGGGCCCCCUGAGUUGGCGGGUAGGUAGCACCGAGCCGGGCGAGCGAUCCCCGGCCCAGAUUAAUGGCGGUCACACGCAGGCUUAUCGCAAGAUAGGCCUGCGCGCACAGAAUCCGGCUUAUCGGUGGGCUUCACAC